CGCUGGCGGCGUGCCUAAUACAUGCAAGUCGAACGAAACUUUUUUACACCGAAUGCUUGCACUCACCGUAAGAAGUUGAGUGGCGGACGGGUGAGUAACACGUGGGUAACCUGCCUAAAAGAAGGGGAUAACACUUGGAAACAGGUGCUAAUACCGUAUAUCUCUAAGGAUCGCAUGAUCCUUAGACGAAAGAUGGUUCUGCUAUCGCUUUUAGAUGGACCCGCGGCGUAUUAACUAGUUGGUGGGGUAACGGCCUACCAAGGUGAUGAUACGUAGCCGAACUGAGAGGUUGAUCGGCCACAUUGGGACUGAGACACGGCCCAAACUCCUACGGGAGGCAGCAGUAGGGAAUCUUCCACAAUGGACGCAAGUCUGAUGGAGCAACGCCGCGUGAGUGAAGAAGGUCUUCGGAUCGUAAAACUCUGUUGUUAGAGAAGAACACGAGUGAGAGUAACUGUUCAUUCGAUGACGGUAUCUAACCAGCAAGUCACGGCUAACUACGUGCCAGCAGCCGCGGUAAUACGUAGGUGGCAAGCGUUGUCCGGAUUUAUUGGGCGUAAAGGGAACGCAGGCGGUCUUUUAAGUCUGAUGUGAAAGCCUUCGGCUUAACCGGAGUAGUGCAUUGGAGACUGGAAGACUUGAGUGCAGAAGAGGAGAGUGGAACUCCAUGUGUAGCGGUGAAAUGCGUAGAUAUAUGGAAGAACACCAGUGGCGAAAGCGGCUCUCUGGUCUGUAACUGAC
rnacentral:rRNA from 1 species